GCCACCCCAUGGUAGAAGAACUUAAUCUCCCUGCCUGAUUGAUAUGCCACCAAAUUCCAUAUUCAGACACCAGCUGAGACUUCAUUUUUGGUCGGUUUAUCUUUUUUCUUUCCGGGAUCUUGUUGAGCUUUUUGUACAACAGCCUUAUUUGGAACCAAAACUAUGAAUAUAUUCCUGUCUUUGAAGUUCUUGCUUUCCUCAGUUGCAAGCUGCAGAUCAGGACAGAGUUUAGGAUGUAAAGUUAAGAGCUGCUUUCAGGUAAUGGAAGUGAAACCCAAACAAAUGCAUUGAACAGCAUAAAAUGGAUGAAGGGAACGAACACCAUUGGAAGUUAAGACUCAAACACCAUAAGCAGGUGAGUUGCUAAUUAUUCUGUUCGGAGAUCAUUUUUCCGUUUCAUUCGCCAACACAUACUAUCCAAUCUGGCAAAGAACAUUUAAUUAUGAUUUUCUAUUGUGGAACUACUUGAUUACAUUUUUUAAAAAGAAAAUAAAAUGCUUGUGAUUAGAAAAGAAAAAGACUUGAAAUCAUAAUACUACUUGAAAGAAAUUACCUUGGUUAAAUCAGAAUACUAGUUAAUGUCACCUCGUUCCUGGAAAUGCUUAAAACAACUCUCAUUUCAACUUGAAAAGAAGUUAAAUUUGUCAUCUACGCAUACUGCUUAAUUCAUGAUUUCAUCUAAAAACAAUUUACAAUAUGGCACCGUUGGAAAUUUGAGAACUUUAUAUGAUUUUAAUAACUCUUUCCACCUUGAACAUAGCAUAUUUGAUAUUGAUGAAAGGAGGAAAAAGAAAUACUUAAUGAAUUACCUCCCCAACGUCAUUCUGAAAACGCCUGAUGAGUUCCAUAGCCAUAUUUCUAAAUUCGUUUUCUCGACCUUUCAAGUUCACUAUGACCUUAACCUGAAAGCAUAGAUCAAAACAUUUCACUGCUAUUGAACUCCAAAACAAAAUAAGGCCUAUUAUUUCACUUCAAGCAUAACUAUUAUAACCCCCCCCCCCCCAAGAAAAAAAAAACCCCCCACCUUAUCACCAUCAUUCAGAAACUUCCUUGCAGCUUUCAAACGAACAGAAUAAUCAUGUUGAUCAAUGUUAUAACUGUUCAAAAGAAACAAAAGCAAUUCAGCCAAAAAACUAGAAAGUGCUCAAAAUGGUUAUUCAUUAUAGCUUUAAAAUAAAGUUCUUGAUAGAAGCUAAGGUGAUACGAGUUACUCUUGCAAAUUUUUACCCCAACUGUUGAUCAAGAAGAUACAUUUGAUUGAACAAAGGAACUUGAGAAUUUUGGUGAAGGAAAAUUUUUCUUUUAAUCAAGGAAAUACAGCCUAAUACUUAUAUUAGGAUGAUGGCAUUUCAGUCCAUUAUUAUAGGAAAAAUAAUAGAACAAUCCCACAAAGUUAGGAAUCUUAACAAACUAGGAAAGCACUAGGAAUCAGUUAAUGACUAAUCCUAUUUCUUAGGAAACUAAAUAAUAAAUCCUAAUCUACCAGAUUACAGCCUAUGAGCAAUUUCCUAAUAUAUACAAACUAAUUCGGCUCCUUUCUACACUCCCCCUCAAGCUGGGGUGUAUAUAUUAUACAAUCUCAGCUUAGAGUUGAAUUCAUCGAAGCUGAUUCUUGGAAGAGCUUUGGCGAGAAUGUCAGCAAGCUGCAGUUGAGUAGGGAUGUAGCUCAGUUGGACUAUUCCAUUGUUGACCUUCUCUAAAAUGAAAUGCCUAUCAAUUUCUACAUGCUUGGUCCUGUCAUGGUGUACUGGAUUUUUAGCCAUGCUUAUUGCAAAUUUACUGUCACUAUGUAUUUUUAUCUGGUCCUUAAAAUCUUAGAAAUCUCUGAAUCCACGUUCCUUCGCAAAUGCCCAAAGCAAGAGCACGAUAUUCUGACUCUGCACUACUUCUUGACACCACUGACUACUUUUUGCUUCUCCAUGUAACAAGAUUGCCCCAAACAAAGGAGCAGUAACCACUUGUGGAUCUUCUUUCAAUCGAUUCUCUAGCCCAACUAGCGUCAGUGUAUACCUCUAUCUCACGGAUUUCACUCUUUUUGAAGUGUAAACUGUGGCCUGGUGUCAUCUUUAGGUAUCUUGGAAUCCAAUUCACAGCCUCUAAAUGUUCCUCAGGUGAAUCAUUCAUGUGCUAGCUAACAAAACUUACUAAGAAUGCAAUGUUUGGCCUCGUGUGUGAGAGAGAGAUCAACUUGCCCACUAAUCUUUGAUACUGCCCUUUAUCCACUGGUACACUCUCCUCAUUUUUCCUUAAACUUUAGGUUGGGGUUCAUAGGCAUCUUUGUAAGUUUACACCCAAGCAUGUCCGUCUCAAUUAGCAAAUCUAAUAUGUACUUUCUUUGGGAUAUAACAAUCCCUGCCUUAGAUCAAGCAAUCUCCAUGCCUAGGAAAUAUCUGAGAGCACCAAGAUCUUUAAUUUCAAACUCAGUAGCAAGUAAUCUUUUGAGUUUGAUAACUUCCUCUGAGUCAUCUCUAGUUAGAAUGAUUUUGUCAACGUAGACAAUGAGAAUAGCAAUUCUACCUUUUGAUGAGGAUUUCACAAAUAAGGAAUGAUCUGUCUGGCAUUGGUUGUAUCCAUUUGUGACUAGUGUUUUGGCAAACCUGUCAAACUAGGCACAAGGUGAUUGUUUUAGCCCAUACAAAAUGACUUCUUCAGCUUGCACACUUGAUGGCUGUUUGAGGAGUUUUCUAGACCUGGAGGUAUUUCCAUGUAAAUGUCUUCUUCAAGAUCUCCAUUCAAAAAGACAUUUUUGAUAUCUAGCUGAUGCAAAGGCCAGUCUUUAUUUACUGCUAGUGACAAUAGUACUUGAACCAUGUUUAACUUGGCAACAGGUGCAAAUAUUCCUGAUAAUCGAUUCCAUAUGACUAAGUAAAGCCCUUUGCCACCAGCCUGACUUUAAACCUCUCAAUACUUCCAUCUGCUUUAUACUUAACUGUAAAUAUUCACUUGCAACCCACUGGCUUCUCCCCUUGAGGUAACUCUGAAAGAGUCCAAGUUUCAUUGCUAUCUAGAGCCCUGAUUUCUUCCUCAAUAGCCUUCUUCCAUGUUGGAUUUUUCAAAGCUUUUUGAAUGGAAUUUUGGAUUUGUAUACUAUCAACAGCUGAAAUAUAUGCUUUAUAUGAUGGCAACAAUUUCCCAUAUGCCACAUAUUUCUCAAUAGGGUGGUCUGUACAUUUUUGGACAUUCUUUCUUUGAGCAAUAGGCAAAUCAGAAUCAUCAACAAAAGGAACAAGUGGCUCACGAGUUGAAGAAUCCAUACCAGUGUAAAAUUCUGAAGCAGGAGGCUCCGGUUCAAGUUCUUGACAAUCUCUGAUUUGAGUGGCAUUCUCUAGAUUUUCAAUAGGUCAUCCCCUCCUAGAAUAGACACAAAAGUUCCGAUGAUUGGUACCAAGUUGAGGUUGAGUGGACUCAUGCAAUUUAGACUCUAAUGGUGUGUCAUUUGGACCUGAUGUGAAACUGAGAUUCGGAUUUUUAGGAGAUAUUUGAGAACUUGGAACAGGGUAAGGAUGUCGGAUUGACACUUUGGGGUGAAAUAUACACGGAUUGAGUCUCUUGAAGAAUGUCCCGAAGCUAAAAUUCCCUUGAGUUCUCCCCUCUGAAUUGCAGAUUUGGAAAAAUAGGAUUGGUGUUCAAAAAAAGUGACAUCCAUGGAAUUGUACAUCUUUCGAGUAACAUGUGAGGAACACUUGUACCCUUUUUUAUUAGAAGAAUAUCCUAGGAAAAUGCAUUUUACUGAUUUGGGAUCGAAUUUGGUUCGAUGUUGUUGGUAUAUGUGAACAAAUGUUGAACAGCCACAGACUCUAAGUGGAAAAUUAGAAGAAAAAGAUUUAGCAUGAAGGAAGGCUUGUAGGAGGACUUCAUGAGGUCUCUGGAAUUGUAGCACUCGACUAAUCAUUCUAUUGAUGAGAUUGGUGGCAGUAAGGAUGAUUUCACCCCAAAAGUGUUUAGGUACAUGAUUAGUAAACAUUAGUGAUCUAGCUACCUCAAGUAAGUGUCUAUUUUUUUCUCUCGGCUAUCCCAUUUUGCUGAGGGGUGUCAACACAAGAACUCACAUGAAUAAUUCCUUGUGUCAUGAAAUAGAAACCCAAGGCUGAUGUAAAAUACUCCCUGCUAUUAUCGGUCUUAAGAAUCUGAAUUUUACUUUUGAACUGGGUGUGAAUCAUAGAAUAAAAAGACCUGAAGAUUUCCCCAGUUUUGGAUUUUUCCUUCAUAAGGAAUGUCCUGGUGGUUCUAGUAUGAUCGUCCAUGAAAGAUACGAACCAACAAUCCCCAUUAAUAUUUUUCACUCGUGAGGGUCCCCAAAUGUCCCUAAGAAUUAUAGAGAAUGGAUGUGAUGGCUUAUAUUGAAUGCUAGGAUAAACAUGUCAUGUGUUUUGCAAGUCGACAUAUUUCACUAUGAAAAAACUUGGAAUUUUUAUAGAUGAACAAAUGGGGAAGCAAUUUUUCAAGGUACACAAAAUUUGGGUGACCAAGGCGGAAUUGCCAUAACAUGACUUGAUUCUCAUUUGAAACAGAAACAGAAUUAGAGAAAGAGUUAGAAACAGACUCAGAACCACAACUUGAAUGAACUUGUCCAUGUAGAAGAGAGUUCCUUUUGAGCAAGUAGAGACCACAAAUUUCAGCACUGCCAAUCACCUUCCCCGAAUCUGCUGCCUGAAAUUCACGAAGAUUUGGAUAAAAUUUAGUCACACAGUUCAAGUCACGGGUGAGUUUACUAAUAGAAAUCAGAUUGCGUCUAAUUAUGGAACAUAAAGGACAGAUAAGAGGUCCUUUGUCAAUUUGAUUGAUCCAAUUACUGCCACUUUUGAGAGUGAUCCAUCUACAAUUCGUACUGUAGAGGGGCUUGAUUAUGGACUGAACUUGUGAAAGACAUUAAUGUCACCGGUCAUGUGGCCUGAAGCUCCAGCAUCAACUAUCCAUGGUCUUAAUUUUCUGGUUGUUGCAAUAUGGGCAAAGGAAAAUGUACCUUGAUGUACUAGCAUGUUAGUAUGUUGUUCGGUAGUGGGUGAUAUAUGUCCGAGUAAUUUCUACAGCACCUCAAUUUGCUCCCUGGUGAAUGGAUUGAUUUCAGUGCUAGUGUUGGUGUUGUCAGAAGUGUUGGCAACAUUUGCACGAUUGUCCCGAUCCUAGCGUGUUCGGUUAGGCCUCCAAUCAACAGGCUUCCCAUGUAAUUUCCAGCAAGUUUCUCUGAAGAGACCAGGUUUCUUACAAUGGUCACACCAUGGCCUUCCUUUUCUUUGCUUGUUAUCCUCAGAUCUGUGUGUACAAGACUGAGCCUUCAGCAACUGGGGAACUCAUAUUUUCUGUCAUCAUCGGUUUCUUCCUACUUUCUUCUCUUCUAACUUCAACAAAUGUCUCUCAGAUGGAAGGCAGAGGCCUGCUACCCAAGAUUCUACCCCUUCAUCCAAAUCCUUAUUGAGACCAAGGAGAAAUUUGAAUGUUCUCUUUUGAUCAACAAUCUUUUUGUGUAAAGUUGCAUCAUCUGGACACUUCCAAGGGUAUAUUUAAAACAUAUCAAGGUGCUGCUAGUACCAGGUUAUUGUGCUGAAAUAUUGAGUGAUAGUUAUCUCCCCUCGUCGUAGAUCAUGAAGUCAAGUUUCAAUUUCAAAAAGUUUAGAGGUAUUUUCGGAACUAGAGUAAGUUUCUCUUGCCCUAUCCCAGAUUUCCUUGGUUGCUUUGUAGAGAAAGAAAUUUUCUCCAAUUUCCAUGGUUAUGGAGAUUAUUAGCCAUGACAUGACCAUGUGAUUUUCAAUCUUCCACAUGCGAUACUUGGGAUCCAUUGUCGCCGGAAUAGGAGCAUCAGUGAGAUAAUCAUCCUUGCCCUGCCAAAAAUAAACAUAAGGACGGAUUGUGACCACUGAAGAAAAUUGUGGCCAUUGAGUUUGUGACUAGUGAUAGGAAGAGGAGAGUUUUCAAUGAUAUUGGCUGAGGAGUUUUCAUAGUUUUUAGCUGAGGGAUUUUGCUCGGGUCUGGAAUUGACUUCUGAGGAGGAGGUGGUUUGUGCAUCCAUGUCGUAUUAGGGUUUAGAGCCUAGCUCUGACGCCAUGAGAAUUUUGGUGAAGGAAAAUUCUUCUUGAUUAUCAAGGAAAUACAGCCUAAUACUUAUAUUAGGAUGACCGGCAUUCCAAUCCAUUAUUCUAGGAAAAAUAAUAGGACAAUCCUACAAACUCAGGAAUCUUAACAAACUAGGAAAGCAACUAAUUAGGAAUCAGUUAAUGACUGAUCCUAUUUCUUAAGAAACUAAAUAAUAAAUCCUAAUCUACCAGAUUACAGCCUAUGAGUAAGUUCAUAACAUAUAGAAACUAAUUCGGCUCCUUUCUACAGAACUCAUAUAUCAAGAAAGAGACCGGGCAAAGUUGGAUUCAAUAUCAAGCACGAGUACUUCACUGAGAUAGUACCAUUCAUAUGACACUACCAUGGUAAAUUACCAGAGUUUUCUACCUCCAGUGUUAAUAAAUGAUAAUAGAAAUGACACUUUUUUAUAAAGCCACAAGCCUAAACCCUAUUAAUAUCAGGCUUUUCCUUUAUAUGCAAAUUCAACAUAGGAAAGGCAGGCUCCAGAAAACAGCUCAAAAUAGGUUAAAUUGCAAGCCUCGUAUGGGGUUUAUGCGCAAGAGUGGAUUGUGCAUAUGCUUCUUGAAACAUCAUGUAAAAAAACAGAAGGUAUCAGGGUCUGUCAUCUUUCUUUCCCAAGAGAGACAACUGUUUUUUCACAAAUAAAUAAAAUGCAUAUUAAUGUUAAAAUGAUAAAACAUCUCAAACUUAUAAACUAACAAAAAUCAAGAUAUUAAACGGUAGGAUUAUAAUUCAUUUAUGAAGUCAUGGGUGUUUAAAACAAAAAUUAGAUACCCGCACAAAGAAUAUAUGGGGACAGACAACAGUCACCAGAAAACUGACAGAAAAUUUUAACAGCAAGCAAAUAUCUAUGAAGUAUGCUUAUGAAAUAAAUUCACGAAGAGAAACUUAUUUUGUAAUUAUAGAUGAUAAUUGAACAUUAACAAAACCAAAAAGACACUGUAAUUUUAUAAAAGCCAAAAAGUGGGGAGAUUAAAGACAAAUAACUACAUAAAGCUAUAAUGCAAAAUACUUACCCCAUUUUCAGUUCCUUCAAAUCCAUGCGAUUAGCUGACAGUUAAAAUAGUAGUUUAUUCAGCAUCAAGCAACAAAAGAAAAGAAAGUUUCAAUCAUGAAUCAAAGAGAAAUGCACAAGGGAGUGCUAAAUCCACAGUCAAUCUGGUUGGGUCCACAGAAUCAUAUCAUAAAGAUAUUAAAUUAGAACAGAGCUACUUUGCCACCAGCCAGAUGGUAUAUGAGUUUAGCAUUCCCCAAUAAAAAUAAAAAUAAACUCUAGCAAAGAGGACAUUAACACGCACUUUUCUUCUGCUGUACUUUCUUCUUCUUUUGCUGUUCAUAUCUAUACUUACUGAGGAAAAGGUAAAAGCAAGUAUAUUAAUACACUUCAAAAUGAAAUUUCAGAAGGAAAAGAUAUGUAAGACUAAGACUAUUAAUUAAGCUUCUUUUUUUAAUAUGAGUCUAAUAGUGCUGUCUUCAAUAACAUGGACAUCAAGGCGGAUCCAAAGGGGGGCAGGCAAGGGCCUUGACUGCCCCUUGGUUAAACUGGAGAAAUUGCAUUUUGGCCCCUCUCAAAAAUUAAUAAUUGAAUGUGGGUCUUUAACACGAUCAUUUUUUGGCUAUGCCUCCCCCCACCCCGUAACCAAUGACAAUUUAUGAUUUUAUCUUGGUCUCUUAACACAAUUUCUAGCUUUGCUCCUGGGGGACAUGACUAAUUGAUAAACAACAUCAUUAAGAUAUCAAUUUUUGAAAAUUUUAGAUGGGAUUUCAGUUUCUUCAGUAGGGUAGAUGAAGAGACAAGGUAGACUCAACUUUUUUCCCACACCUUUUAUUUACAUUACAUUGAGAGGGUACAUAGAGUUACUUCUGUCUCAUUUAAAAGGGAUACUCCAAACUUAUAUCUUUUUCCCCAGCUUAACUAUCAAAAAAGAUCACCAUUUGGCAGCCGUUUUUAUUUCAGAACUAUUUCUUCUAAACUGGCAGAAGAAAUUUUCCAUAAAUGUUUGAAUAACAAUAUACAAAUACUUUUUCUCUCAAGUUAGCAUAAAACAUAUCGUACUUAUAAUCCAUUAUUCUGACAACGGGAGGAUCUGCAUCAGGGGAUAAUAUCACCUGCAAAAGUGGUAUUAAAACAAUUUUCAGUAUCACCAUUACACACACAAGAAGUUCAAAGAAACUUCGAUUUCUAAGAGAAAAAUUAUAAGUUUCAAUGUACUUGGCAUAGGCUACUUAAUUCUAAUCACUUAAAAAAAUAAAAUAAAGAAUAAGAAAGAACCCAAAGCAAAAAACUGAGACAACGAACAGGUACGAGUAUAACAAAAUACCAACUUGAAUUUCCCUACACAAUCUUUUUUUUUUUAUCCUAAGGUAUCUACUUAUAACAGAGCAGAUUGUAGGUUCAUAGUACCUUUGCCAAAGACCAGCAUAGCAUCAAUCACUAGCUUGAACAUGUGGUUGAUCUUUUCAUAUUAUUCUCUUUCUACUCACCAUUUUGACAUCCAGUUUUCUCAAGAGAAAUAAAACAACCCGACUAAAAUGUCCUACCAUGAAGUUUAAGGAUAUAAGCUAGCAUCUAGAGACUUAUGCAACAGAAGAAAAAUUGGCAAAACAAAUUACCAAAUAUGAAUAAACGAAUCCAAUAUCCUGAACUGAAAAAACCCAAACUACAAUGACACCGAUACCUUCUCAAGCAAGUUGCUUGUAUAUGCCUAUUCUAGCAUGCAACAAAUGUAAGCAACUAUGAUAUCGUUGUUCUGUCUUCUAACCAUUUAUUAAACUUUCGCUCUUCCACUUCUAGCAAGCAGACACAAGGUUUUAAACAAGCACUUCACUCAACGUUCAUGUAACCACAAAAGAAGAACUAGAAUAACGCUGAUACCUAUAGCAUGGAAGUUAAAUUACAAUUGUAAAGCUUCCCAACCCCAGUAAGCUAGUUAGUGGUUUACAUACAUUCUCUCUGUAAUGUCAUAUAAUAUAAACAUGUAAUAAAACCAAUUGUAGAACAUGGGAAUGCCAAAGGCUCCAUUUGGUUAUUACCUUUAGUCCAUGCUUUUUCCAUCCAAAAGUAAUAGAAACAUGAUGUGUUUAUGCAUGAAGAAAAUAAUGUUUUUGAAAUUGUUACAAAUUAAAACACAUUCAACUUUUGUCAAGAAAAAUUCGCAACUCUACUGAAAAUAUCCUGCUACCAACACAACUAUAUAUUUACAAAAACAAAUGGAAAAGCUAAGUGUCCCUCACAAGCAAAAAAAUUACAAAUUCUCCAGUUUGUAGAAAUGGAUAAGUUCUUGUCAUUGACAUGGUAAGGCAAAUCACUAAGUCAAAAACUCAGAGUCAAGAGUCAAGAAAGAAGAGAAUAUUAACAGAAACCGAGAAAAACAUACCAAAUCGAGCCCUGCAUCUUCAGCCAUUUGAAUAGCCUGGCUUUUAGAGACUAUCCCAAUCUACAGAUUAAGAAAUUUAAUCAAAUUUUCAACUGAUAAAAGAAUUUCAAUGUAAUGCACAAAAUGCCUUCUUAGCAUUUAAAAGUGAAAAAAGAGAUGAAGGAAAAUUCAACUAACCAUACUUUGCUCCUCAUCAAUAAGUCUGACAGAAUCCGACCUAAAACCAUAGAAAAACACAAACAAACAUAAAUGAAGAAACGAAGCUAUCCCAAAGUUGCAGUUAAAUCAAAUAACACAAGGACAAACCUGAUGGCAGAUAAAUCAAGUGCCUGGUCUUCAUCAUUCUUCUUAGAACGACCGGGAGGCGAGAACCGAGAAUCAGCACCGUAACGGGCAUUUAUAGUAGCAGAGCAGUGAAGAGGAGAGGAGAAACUGUUAGGGUUGCGGACAUGGAUACCAAAGAG
rnacentral:lncRNA from 1 species